rnacentral:rRNA from 1 species
CCUACGGGAGGCAGCAGUGGGGGAAUCUUGCGCAAUGGGCGAAAGCCUGACGCAGCCAUGCCGCGUGAAUGAUGAAGGUCUUAGGAUUGUAAAAUUCUUUCACCGGGGACGAUAAUGACGGUACCCGGAGAAGAAGCCCCGGCUAACUUCGUGCCAGCAGCCGCGGUAAUACGAAGGGGGGCUAGCGUUGCUCGGAAUUACUGGGCGUAAAGGGAGCGUAGGCGGAUAGUUUAGUCAGAGGUGAAAGCCCAGGGCUCAACCUUGGAAUUGCCUUUGAUACUGGCUAUCUUGAGUAUGGGAGAGGUUAGCGGAACUCCGAGUGUAGAGGUGAAAUUCGUAGAUAUUCGGAAGAACACCAGUGGCGAAGGCGGCUAACUGGCCCAUUACUGACGCUGAGGCUCGAAAGCGUGGGGAGCAAACAGGAUUAGAUACCCUGGUAGUCCACGCCGUAAACGAUGAGUGCUAGUUGUCGGCAUGCAUGCAUGUCGGUGACGCGAGCUACGACAUAAGACACUCCGCCGUCGGGAGGUACGGUCGCGAAGAAGUUAAACGUAACUAAAUAGUUAAGUUAGUACGGCGUUGAGACGUUGCCGACGGACGACGACGAGGGGAGGAGG